rnacentral:rRNA from 1 species
UACAGAGGGGGCAAGCGUUGUUCGGAAUUACUGGGCGUAAAGGGCGCGUAGGCGGCCUGCUAAGUCGAACGUGAAAUCCCCGGGCUCAACCCGGGAACUGCGUCCGAUACGGGCAUGACUGGAGUUCGGCAGGGGAGACUGGAAUUCCUGGUGUAGCGGUGAAAUGCGCAGAUAUCAGGAGGAACACCGGUGGCGAAGGCGGGUCUCUGGGCCGAUACUGACGCUGAGGAGCGAAAGCGUGGGGAGCGAACAGG